AACGAACGCUGGCGGCAGGCUUAACACAUGCAAGUCGAACGCAUCCUUCGGGGUGAGUGGCAGACGGGUGAGUAACGCGUGGGAACGUGCCCUUCAGUUCGGGAUAACCCAGGGAAACUUGGGCUAAUACCGGAUACGUGCGAGAGCAGAAAGAUUUAUCGCUGAAGGAUCGGCCCGCGUCUGAUUAACCAGUUGGUGGGGUAUAGGCCCACCAAGGCGACGGUCAGUAGCUGGUGUGAGAGGAUGAUCAGCCACAUUGGGACUGAGACACGGCCCAAACUCCUACGGGAGGCAGCAGUGGGGAAUAUUGGACAAUGGGCGCAAGCCUGAUCCAGCCAUGCCGCGUGAGUGAUGAAGGCCUUAGGGUUGUAAAGCUCUUUCGUCCGGGACGAUAAUGACGGUACCGGAAGAAGAAGCCCCGGCUAACUUCGUGCCAGCCGCCGCCGUAACAC
rnacentral:rRNA from 1 species